GGUAACAGGUCUUCGGAUGCUGACGAGUGGCGAACGGGUGAGUAAUACAUCGGAACGUGCCUAGUAGUGGGGGAUAACUACUCGAAAGAGUGGCUAAUACCGCAUGAGAUCUACGGAUGAAAGCAGGGGAUCGCAAGACCUUGUGCUACUAGAGCGGCCGAUGGCAGAUUAGGUAGUUGGUGGGAUAAAAGCUUACCAAGCCGACGAUCUGUAGCUGGUCUGAGAGGACGAUCAGCCACACUGGGACUGAGACACGGCCCAGACUCCUACGGGAGGCAGCAGUGGGGAAUUUUGGACAAUGGGCGCAAGCCUGAUCCAGCAAUGCCGCGUGCAGGAUGAAGGCCUUCGGGUUGUAAACUGCUUUUGUACGGAACGAAAAGCCCUGGGUUAAUACCCUGGGGUCAUGACGGUACCGUAAGAAUAAGCACCGGCUAACUACGUGCCAGCAGCCGCGGUAAUACGUAGGGUGCGAGCGUUAAUCGGAAUUACUGGGCGUAAAGCGUGCGCAGGCGGUUUUGUAAGACAGAGGUGAAAUCCCCGGGCUCAACCUGGGAACUGCCUUUGUGACUGCAAGGCUAGAGUACGGCAGAGGGGGAUGGAAUUCCGCGUGUAGCAGUGAAAUGCGUAGAUAUGCGGAGGAACACCGAUGG
rnacentral:rRNA from 1 species